rnacentral:rRNA from 1 species
AUUGAACGCUGGCGGCAGGCCUAACACAUGCAAGUCGAACGAGUGGCGGACGGGUGAGUAAUGUCUGGGAAACUGCCUGAUGGAGGGGGAUAACUACUGGAAACGGUAGCUAAUACCGCAUACCAUCAAAUGUGCCCAGAUGGGAUUAGCUAGUUGGUGGGGGAACGGCUCACCAAGGCGCCGAUCCCUAGCUGGUCUGAGAGGAUGACCAGCCACACUGGAACUGAGCCACGGCCCAGACUCCUACGUGAGGCAGCAGUGGGGAAUAUGGCACAAUGGGCGCAAGCCUGAUGCAGCCAUGCCGCGUGUAGGAAGAAGGCCUUCGGGUUGUAAAGUACUUUCAGCGGGGAGGCGUUACCCACAGAAGAAGCACCGGCUAACUCCGUGCCAGCAGCCGCGGUAAUAC